rnacentral:rRNA from 1 species
GCGAACGGUUGCAGUCUGUAUGCAUCCAUGCCGCGUGUAUGAAGAAGGCCUUCGGGUUGUAAAGUACUUUCAGCGAGGAGGAAAGGUUGUUGGUUAAUACCCAACAGCUGUGACGUUACUCGCAGAAGAAGCACCGGCUAACUCCGUGCCAGCAGCCGCGGUAAUACGGAGGGUGCGAGCGUUAAUCGGAAUUACUGGGCGUAAAGCGCAUGCAGGCGGUUUGUUAAGCGAGAUGUGAAAGCCCCGGGCUCAACCUGGGAACUGCAUUUCGAACUGGCAAACUAGAGUCUUGUAGAGGGGGGUAGAAUUUCAGGUGUAGCGGUGAAAUGCGUAGAGAUCUGAAGGAAUACCAGUGGCGAAGGCGGCCCCCUGGACAAAGACUGACGCUCAGAUGCGAAAGCGUGGGGAGCAAACAGGAUUAGAUACCCGAGUAGUCCAGGUAUUGAUUGU